rnacentral:rRNA from 1 species
ACGUACUGUGCGAACGUUAUUCGGAAUCACUGGGCUUAAAGGGUGCGUAGGCGGCAAUCUAAGUCAGAUGUGAAAUGCCUGAGCUCAACUGAGGCAUUGCGUUUGAAACUGGGUUGCUGGAGUGUUCCAGGGGUGUGCGGAACUGCCAGUGGAGCGGUGAAAUGUGUUGAUAUUGGCAGGAACACCGGAGGCGAAAGCGGCACACUGGGGGAUAACUGACGCUGAGGCACGAAAGCCAGGGGAGCGAACGGGA